CAGGAGCUCCUCCAGCUUCAAAGCCAGGGCGCUGUUUGCAUCCGCUCGGUCUCUCCGCUCAAGUCUGAAUCUCUUCUUCCAAAAUCCACGUCUUGGUGGACGCCCCGAAAGAAAACCUGAGGUCACGAUGGAUCUUGAAGGAGGCCGCAGUGGAAGAAGGGGGAAGAAGAACUUCUUGAAAAUUAACGAAAAAAGUAAAAAAGAUGAGAAGAAAGAAAAGAAACCAAC